rnacentral:rRNA from 1 species
GUGCCAGCAGCCGCGGUAACACGGGGGGAGCAAGCGUUGUUCGGAUUCAUUGGGCGUAAAGAGCUCGUAGGCGGCUCUGUAAGUCGGGGGUGAAAGACCACAGCUCAACUGUGGAAACGCCUUCGAAACUGCGGAGCUUGAGGCCGGGAGAGGAAAUCGGAAUUCCUGGUGUAGCGGUGAAAUGCGUAGAUAUCAGGAGGAACACCGGUGGCGAAGGCGGAUUUCUGGACCGGUUCUGACGCUCAGGAGCGAAAGCCAGGGGAGCAAACAGGAUUAGAAACCCUGGUAGUCC